CUAGGGAGCGGCAGCAGGAGUGAUGAGCUCCACCGUCACCGGAGAGGGUCAAAGAGCCUUGAAAAAACUGAGUGAGAAACCAGAAGGAAGCAGCAGGGGCAGACUGGCCAUGUGGCACGGGGGCAGCUCGCCGGACAGAGUGCCAGGAAACACAGGCGAAGCCGGCGCGGCACUUUGGAGGCUGAAUGUCCAAGGGUGCCGGCCCCCUCCGCUUGCCUGGGGGGUGUCACACCAUGCUGGGAGCACCUGCUGGAGACAGCGCCUGGGGACGCGGUCAGACAGCAGGGACAGGCUCCCUCCUUGGCAGCAGCCCCGUGAGAACCAACUCCAGAUGCCAGGAGAGGCCCUCACCCCUUCCUCGGGCAGCACCCUCCUACUGGACCCUACCACGGGACCCCACUGCUUAAAGGCCCCGCCGCAUCUUAAUACCGCCACGCUGGGGACCACCCUUCCUGCUCAGAAUCCCUUGGGGUUCACCCACGUCCAGACCACCACAGCUCUCUGCUAAUGCACCUGGGACAGCAGUGGAAGAUGGGCCAAUAAUCCUUGAACCCAGACGGCAGACCCAGAAGACGCUCCUGGCUCCUGGCUUCAGAGUGGCCCAGCCCCGGUCAUUUCAGCCAUUUGGGGAGUGGACCAGAAGAUUCAUUCUCUCUCUCUGUCUCUCUCUCUCUCUCUCUCUAACUCUGCCUUUCAAAUAAAUAAAUCUUUAAAAUAACAAUAAUAAUA